UUACGGCCAUAUCCCGUUGAAACACCGGUUCUCGUCUGAUCACCGAAGCUAAGUCGAGUCUGGUCAGUACCUCGAUGAUUGAACGCUUGGGAAUACCAGGCUCUGUA